GCACACUUCCCAUCCGCUGCAGGCUGUGCUCCGAGGCCUGGAUGAGCUUGUCUGCCCAGAAGAGGUGCUUGGAGGUCUGCACGCGGAUGGAGCGGUGCUGGCCGGACCUCUGGACUUCCUCCGCCACGGGAUCCAGGUCGCUCCACGCACACCGGGACGAGCUCCAUGCAAUGUGGAAGAGAAGGCAGAGUGGAGGUCCAGGCUUUGCUGCUGAGCUUAGGGGAGAUCCUCGAGGAUUUGGCAUUGAGUCUGACGUGAGCUGUGGCUUUCUUCAUAGAUGCCCUUCAUCAGAUGGCUGCAACGACUGGAGCUGGGCCAAUCCGAAGCCAGGAGCCAGGAGCUUCUUUUGGGUUUCCCACGCUUCUUAGGGUGGAAGCUGCAGUCACGGACUCAAGACCUUCCGUCCUUGCUGUUGUAGAAGUUUGCUGCUGUCGCUGGGACUGCAGGCCACCAAUGCUGAUACUGUGUUUUCAAUUUCUUGUGUGUGUGUGUGUGUGUUUUUUUUUUUUUUUUUUGACAGGCAGAGUGGACAGUGAGAGAGAGAGACAGAGAGAAAGGUCUUCCUUUGCCGUUGGUUCACCCUCCAAUGGCCGCCACGGCCAGCGCACUGUGGCCGGCGCACCGCGCUGAUCCGAUGGCAGGAGCCAGGUACUUCUCCUGGUCUCCCAUGGGGUGCAGGGCCCAAGCACUUGGGCCAUCCUCCACUGCACUCCCGGGCCACAGCAGAGAGCUGGCCUGGAAGAGGGGCAACCAGGACAGAAUCCAGCGCCCCGACCAGGACUAGAACCUGGUGUGCCGGCGCCACAAGGUGGAGGAUUAGCCUAGUGAGCCGCGGCGCCAGCCUCAAUUUCUUUUUUUAAAUAUUUUAUUUAUGUGAAAAAGCACACCCGAGAGACAUCUUCCAUCUGCUGGUUCAUUCCCUAGAUGGCUGCAACAGCCAGGGCCAAGCCAGGCCAAAGCCAGGAGCCAGGAGCCAGGAGCUUCUUCUGGGUCUCCCAUACAGGUGCAGGGGCCCUAGCACUUGGGCCAUCUUCCACUGCUUUCCCAGGCCACAGCAGGGAGCUCGAUGGGAAGUGGAGCAGCCAUGUGGGACGCUCGUGCUGCAGGUGGUAGCUGUACCCACUUAGUUACAACAUCAGCCCCUGUAAUUUCAAUUUUCAUUCUGUUCACAAAACUUUCUAAUUUUCAUUGUAAUUUCUUCUUUGACAUUUGAGUGAAGUGUACUACUCAGAAGUGCACUAUUUUUUAAAUAUUUGGGGGAUAUUCCGGUUAUCUCUCUCUUACGGAUUUUUAAUUCAAGACCAUCACGGUCAGAGAGCAUAUGAAGUAUGAUUUGAAUCUUUUAAAAUUUAUUGAGACUUUUUUUUUUAAAGAGAGACAGACAGACAGAAGGGGAGAGAGAGCUCCCAUUCACUAGUUCACUCCCAACAUGCCCACAGUGGCUGGGGCUGGGCCAGGCUGAAGCCAGGAGCCAGGAACUUUAUCCAGCUCUCCCACGCACGUGGCAGGGAAUCAAGUACUUGGGCCAUCACUGCUGCCUCCCGAGGUCAUCACUAGCAGGAAGGUGGUAUUGAGAGAGGAGCCAGGACGCGAACCCAAGUAUGCUGAUAUGGGAUGCAGGCUUCUUAACUGGUAUCUUAGCCACUAGGCCGGGCAUCUACCCCUGGGGCAUUAAAAAAUACUGCUUAUGCUUAUUUAUUUGAAAGGCACAGAGAGAAGGGGAAAAGAGGGAGAUGGGGAGAGAGGGAGGGAGGGGGGGAGAGAGAGAAGGAGAGAGGGGGAGAGGGAUAGAGAGAGGGAGAGAGGGAGGGAGGGAGAGAGGGAGAGAGGGAGAGAGAGAGUGAGAAGGAGAGAGGAAGGGAGGGAGAGAGAGAGGGAGAGAGAGAGAGAGGGAAGGAGGGAGGGAGAGAGUGAGAGGGAGAGAGGGAGGGAGGGAGAGAGAGAGAGUGAGAGAGGGAGGGAGGGAGGGAGAGGUCUCCUGCUGGUUCACUGGUUCACUCCCUGAAUGCCCACAACAGCCAGGGCUGGGCCAGGCCAAAGAUGGGAGGAGCCAGGAACUCAAUCUGGGUCUCCCACAUGGGUGCCAGGGACCCAGGUACUUGAAUUAUCACCUGCUGCCUCCCAGGGUUCACAUUAGCAGGGAGCUGGAAUUGAAGCUAAGCCUAGACUGGGACCCAGGCGCUCUGAUGUGGGAUACGGGUGUCCCAGUGGCGCCUUAACUGCUGUGGCCGACGCUUGCCCCUGAGCUUUUUUCCGGUGGCCCACAUGUGAGCGAUCUCGUGAGCUUGAACAGAAUGUGGAUUACGCGCUUGUCGGGUGGAGUGUUCUGUAAGUAAACGACAGUGAAGCCGUGUGGCAGGUGUAGCAGUCGCAGCUUCUACAGCCCUGGGGCUUUGUCUGUUUAUUCUAUCGACUGCUGAGGCAGGAGCGCUGACACUUCUACCCACAAGGGUGGAUUUGUCCGCUUCUCCUGGCAGUUCUACCCGUUUCUGCAUCUUGAAGCUGUGGCGUUGGGUGCAGAAACAGUUGGGACAGUUGUAUCCUCCUGAUAACUGAUCCAUUUAUCAUUAUGAAACGACACCACCCAUCUCUGGCAAUAUUCUUUGAUCCAAAACCUACUUUGAGUGAUGUUAACGUGGCGCUCCAGAUGUCUUAUGAGUGGUCUUGGCAUGGGCUAUCUUUUGUAUCCUUUCACUUUUCUAACCAUCUUGUGUCUUUAUGGCUAAACUAGGUUUUAAGGGGUGGGCCUUCGGCACAGUGUUAAAACACUGCUGGGGACGCAUCCUACAUUGUGGGGUUCACUGUGUGAUUCCAGCUUUCUGCUAAGCGUGUACCCUAGGAGGCAGCAGGCGAUGGUUCGAGUCACUGGGUCCCUGCCACUGACCUGGGAGACCCAUAUUGAAUUCAGGCCUCCUGGCUUUGGUCUGGCCCGGCCCUGGCUGUCUCAGGCAUUUGGAGGGUGAACCAGAAGGUGGAAAAUCUGUCUCUCCGACUUUCAAACCAAACACAAAAUAAAUACAGCAAGCCAAACCAGAUUCAACUUUAAAAAUAUGUAAAAUAAAAUAAGUUUCCAAUUGGUAGCAUAUAGUUAAGGCUUGCUUCUUUUUUAUCCCUUCUGCCAAUGUUUGCCUUUAACAUCGACUGGGAGCAAUGGGGCUGAGUUGGCCAUCUUGCUAUUUGCUUUCUACUUUUCCCAUCCGUUCUUUGCUCUCCGUUUUUGAUGCCUUGUUUUGGAUUAUUAUUAUUUUUUUUGACAGGCAGAGCGGACAGUGAGAGAGAGAGAGACAGAGAGAAAGGUCUUCCUUUUGCCGUUGGUUCACCCUCCAAUGGCUGUCGCACUGCGGCCGGCGCACCACGCUGAUCCGAUGGCAGGAGCCAGGUACUUCUCCUGGUCUCCCAUGGGGUGUAGGGCCCAAGGACUUGGGCCAUCCUCCACUGCACUCCCAGGCCACAGCAGA